AAAGCUGAUUCAGGUCUUCAGGAGCCGCGAGGCCGCAGAGCCGCCGGGCCGGCCAGGGGGUGGGAAGCAGAUUCCUCAGCUCCCUGCCCCGGAAAGGGAGGCUUGGCAUCCCCCUCGGGGCGGGGGGAAGGCAGAGGGGCAGCGGUCUGGGUGGGGCGUCCAGCUCCCUCGAGCCCGCCGGGUGCUGCGGGCGGAAGUCCACCAGGCCAGGGGUCUAGAAGCUUCAGAAUGUUCCAGCAGCUCUGCCUUCCCGCCGCUCGGCCGAGAAGCUGACCCGCAGCGGCCGGACCUGUGCUCCGAGAGGACGCGCCCAGCCCGGUGCGAAACGGACCCUGCAGCCUGUCCCCGGCGGCUGGAGCACAGAAGGUUUGUAGGCUCCUCUCUCCAUCCCUGAUGUCCAGAAAGCUCCCGCUGUGACUAGGCGUUCCUCACUUGCUAUAUGUGGCACUGUUCUGAAGAGCUCUACCACGUGCUCACUGACUCAGUCCCUCACCCAGGAGGUGGGUGUUGUGAGCGGCCUGACGUUGCUGGUCCAGGUCCCACUGCUGGGAUUUGAACCCAGGCCUUUGGCUGCAGAGCCCAGGAUGUCUAGGGAGUGGCUGCUUCCGUCCAGGACCGGCUGGUCCUGAACGGCCCUGUCACACUCGGGUGAGGCCCGGCUCCUGGCCAGAAGCUCUGUGUGUGGGGAGGUGGGGGUCUGCUCGUCGACUUGCUGGCCUCCACGUGGCGUUGCGAAGGGGUCCUGCAGGGGCUCUUCAGCGUUGCUGUCUGUAGGUUUCUCCUUUGCGAUGGCGAGGUUCCUAAGGAGAAACCCUGGAAGAGGACGGGUCAGCCUGGUGAAGACUGGCUCCGGCGUGGAGAGCUGAGUGGAGAGAUGCAAUACAUAGACUUUCUCUUAAUCUCCUUGUUUCCACUAUGGCCCCUGUUCUCGCCUUGAGCUGUGGUUGGCAUUCAUGAGUCCAGGGACUUUCUGGUUCAGCUGCUCCCUGGAAGGUACUUGCCAUUUUCUGCCACAUGACAGGGAGGAAUGUGGGCAAUCUAAGUGUUUCUUACAGACUUUCAACCCACCGUCCUGUUUUCUAGCCCUCCUCCACAGCCCGCCCUUCAGAGAGGCCUGGAACCCUGCACAGAGGCUUCCGGGUUUACGAGGCAUGGGGUGCACCCUCUCCCUCCCGCCGGUGCCCUCCCUGCGGGCAGCCUGCUUUUCGCUUUCUCUGCCCUCCGACGGUUAGUUAUCCUUGGACGUCACUCUUCCUGCUUCCACCAUGUGUUGACAUUUUCGUCUUCUGUGAUGUUUCUU